ACAAUAAUUAGUAAAAUCAUGCUUGGAAAAUGCCUUCAAAGAAAAAUUUCUAAAUUAUUUAAAUUGGAAAUGUGUGUGUGUGUGUGGAUUGGUUUAUUUCCAAAUCGCACAGUAACCCGCAUUCUAUGCUGGUUUGCAGUUGCUAUACAAAUGCUCCUCGCAAUUCUGCUAUUAUACUUUACGUGUGAGAAAGGUAAAGGAAUCGUCGAAUUUUCCUGCUCUCUUACAUUUUUCAUUGUAAUGCUCUUGUUAUCGAUUUGGCUAAUCGACGUACUCGUGCAGCACAAUUCAUUGGCAUUGAUGAUAUAUAUAAUAACAUUCGCAUUCUCUGGCGUUUUUGUCCUUACCUAUCUGUUGCUUGUUGUUUUCAAAGUGAUGCACAAGGGGGACCCAAGGAUAAAUAAUGAGGCCUGGAAAAAUCAACUGCUUGCUGUAGUAUUUUCAGUCAACUAUGUGUUCACAUUGGCUGCGUUGCAUUUAUAUCGCACAACAAUAUUGGCAGAGAAUGUGACUAUGGAAAACACUUUCUAACGCGGAUUAUUCUAUUUUUCACUUGGAUGGGGCUGGUGCCAAAACAAUUUCGUUUAUUGUCUCCCCUUGCAUCUGUGUGGGGGAGCUGGCGUGGGGCAUGCAACAAAGAGUCAAGUGGUUGAGUGGCAUGCACGACUAGAGUUACAGCAAUGCCUGCUAUUCGCUAUUCUACUCCUCUACGGUAUUAUACACUCGCAACUGGUAUUUCAGAUUUGCAACAAGAUUUGUAACGACCCGAACAAGUCGUAAUGGACGCCAGCAGCUUUGUAAUGUAGAUUAUUUUUGUAAUCUAUCUGGUUUUAUUUGACGCAAGGUUUUUAUUAGCGCGCCAAUUUUACCAUUGCCCCAGCGACCAGGAAGCCAAACAGCCGACAAUUCUACGUGCCUAGACGGCAGCGGCAGGCAAGCAGACAAUCCAACCAUCCACACACCCAUACACACACACACACACACACACUCGCACACACAACAUAUGGUGUGCACAUUUCCAGCUCAAUUGCGCGCUCAAUGAAUAAUUUAGUUGAAAAUUUCGGCGCACUUUUUGUGUGAAAAUGCGGUCUAUACAGUUAUUUGAGUGCAACAGCCUACCCACUCCGCCCCUCAUCCCCCCUCAUCCAGCCGCACCACUCGUCUGCUCAGUCAGUCAUAAAAUUUAUGCGUUUUUCCUUACAGUUUUUCUCAUUUUGGUGGGAGCUUUGCUCUCGGUUGCCUCAUAAAAUGACUUGCGCAACAGUUGAAAAAUUCUAAACGCCGUCAUAAAUGCUAGACGACCAUGCCCUCCAUGCCCCCCACCGUGAUGCCCAGCGUAGCUGCACUCUGCUGGCGUUGCCAUAUCAGCGCCAUAAAUAAAUUUUUCGUGUUUGACUUUUGGUGAAAUGAGGAAAAAAAAUAUAUAUAUAAAAUAAUAAUAAAACAGAAAAACUUG